rnacentral:rRNA from 1 species
CAGCACCUCAAGUGGUCAGGAUGAUUAUUGGGCCUAAAGCAUCCGUAGCCGGCGCUGUAAGUUUUCGGUUAAAUCUGUACGCUCAACGUACAGGCUGCCGGGAAUACUGCAGCGCUAGGGAGUGGGAGAGGUAGACGGUACUCGGUAGGAAGGGGUAAAAUCCUUUGAUCUAUUGAUGACCACCUGUGGCGAAGGCGGUCUACCAGAACACGUCCGACGGUGAGGGAUGAAAGCUGGGGGAGCAAACCAGAUUAGAUACCCGAGUAGUCC